rnacentral:tRNA from 1 species
CGGGGCGUAGCGCAGCCUGGUUUAGCGCACCAGCUUGGGGUGCUGGGGGUCGGUGGUUCAAAUCCACUCGCCCCGA